rnacentral:rRNA from 1 species
AGGAAUCCGCCCAAGGAGGGGCUCGCGUCUGAUUAGUUAGUUGGUGAGGCAAUGGCUUACCAAGGCGACGAUCAGUAGCUGGUCCGAGAGGAUGAUCAGCCACACUGGGACUGAGACACGGCCCAGACUCCUACGGGAGGCAGCAGUGGGGAAUUUUCCGCAAUGGGCGAAAGCCUGACGGAGCAAUGCCGCGUGAAGGCAGAUGGCCCACGGGUCAUGAACUUCUUUUCUCGG